AUUAUAAAACCUCCAAACAUACAACAAAUUCCUCACAGCUUCAGCGAGGAAAAUAAGUGAAGCUUGAUUCAAAGUUGUGAAAUAUUUGAAAAAAACUACCAACAUGGUUGGAGGGAAUAAAAAAACUCCGGGAAAGGGGAAAAAACCCAUGAAGCCUUCAUCCAUCAAAAUAAGAUCAUCUGCCCCAAAAAGGUUUAGUAAAAAUGUGGACAAAAGAAUGGAUUCGAAAUCAGGUGGAUACCUCCAGCCAGGCUUAGCUCCCAUCAAAAGUGGCACUAAACAAAUAAAGGAGAAAUUAAAGUCUAAAAAAAUUUCAUGGACAGGCAAACCUCCCGUCCCAAGCUUUGAUGAAUUACCAAACAUAAAAGCGAAAUCAACGUUUGGAAUACCCUCCGGGCCGGGCUCAACUUCCGCGACAGGCCAAUCUUACCAGCAAGGAAAAUUCACCAGGUCAGGCUCAUCUUACGGAACAGGCCAAUCUUCCUAUCAAACCGUUUAUGAGAAUCCUUACGAAAAAGUGAAAUCAACGCUAGGAAGUUCCUUCAGAUGGGACUCACCUUCCGAGACAUACAAUCUUCCCUCCCACCCUUAGGUAAUUCAAUGGUAGGAAGUUCCUCCAGGUUGGGCUCAUCAAUAAAAUAAGGAACUCUUUUAAUGUAACUUUCAAAGAAACUUUUGUCAUGUCUAAAUAAUGUCUACCAACCAUUGUAAUGUGAUGUCCUUGUAUUUUCUUUUUUCAUUUUAUUUUACUUUUUUUCUCCAUCGAUUUGUUUUUCACUAAUCUUCCAAAAUUAAUGACUUUAUCUAUCUAUAAUUCAAAUAAUAUCUCUAUUUCCAG